GUGGGUGUAGCUCAGCGGUAAGAGCGCCAGACUGUGGCUCUGGAUGCCGGGGGUUCAAAUCCCCUCACCCACCCCA
rnacentral:tRNA from 1 species